rnacentral:rRNA from 1 species
ACUAAAUAGAUACCCAGGUAGUCCACGCCCUAAACGAUGUCUACUAGUUGUUGGUGGAGUAAAAUCCAUGAGUAAAACGCAGCUAAACGCGUGAAGUAGACCGCCUGGGGAGUACGGUCGCAAGAUUAAAACUCAAAGGAAUUGACGGGGGCCCGGCACAAGCGGUGGAUUAUGUGGAUUAAAUUCGAUGCAACGCGAAAAACCUUAACCUGGCCUUGACAUGCCACUAACGAAGCAGAGAUGCAUUAGGUGCCCGUAACGGGAAAGUGGACACAGGUGCUGCAUGGCUGUCGUCAGCUCGUGUCGUGAGAUGUUGGGUUAAGUCCCGCAACGAGCGCAACCCUUGCCAUUAAUUGCCAUCAUUUAGUUGGGCACUUUAAUGGGACUGCCGGUGACAAACCGGAGGAAGGUGGGGAUGACGUCAAGUCCCCA